GAUGAACGCAGGCGGCGUGCCUAAUACAUGCAAGUCGAGCGAACGGACGAGAAGCUUGCUUCUCUGAUGUUAGCGGCGGACGGGUGAGUAACACGUGGAUAACCUACCUAUAAGACUGGGAUAACUUCGGGAAACCGGAGCUAAUACCGGAUAAUAUUUUGAACCGCAUGGUUCAAAAGUGAAAGACGGUCUUGCUGUCACUUAUAGAUGGAUCCGCGCUGCAUUAGCUAGUUGGUAAGGUAACGGCUUACCAAGGCAACGAUGCAUAGCCGACCUGAGAGGGUGAUCGGCCACACUGGAACUGAGACACGGUCCAGACUCCUACGGGAGGCAGCAGUAGGGAAUCUUCCGCAAUGGGCGAAAGCCUGACGGAGCAACGCCGCGUGAGUGAUGAAGGUCUUCGGAUCGUAAAACUCUGUUAUUAGGGAAGAACAUAUGUGUAAGUAACUGUGCACAUCUUGACGGUACCUAAUCAGAAAGCCACGGCUAACUACGUGCCAGCAGCCGCGGUAAUACGUAGGUGGCAAGCGUUAUCCGGAAUUAUUGGGCGUAAAGCGCGCGUAGGCGGUUUUUUAAGUCUGAAGUGAAAGCCCACGGCUCAACCGUGGAGGGUCAUUGGAAACUGGAAAACUUGAGUGCAGAAGAGGAAAGUGGAAUUCCAUGUGUAGCGGUGAAAUGCGCAGAGAUAUGGAGGAACACCAGUGGCGAAGGCGACUUUCUGGUCUGUAACUGACGCUGAUGUGCGAAAGCGUGGGGAUCAAACAGGAUUAGAUACCCUGGUAGUCCACGCCGUAAACGAUGAGUGCUAAGUGUUAGGGGGUUUCCGCCCCUUAGUGCUGCAGCUAACGCAUUAAGCACUCCGCCUGGGGAGUACGACCGCAAGGUUGAAACUCAAAGGAAUUGACGGGGACCCGCACAAGCGGUGGAGCAUGUGGUUUAAUUCGAAGCAACGCGAAGAACCUUACCAAAUCUUGACAUCCUUUGACAACUCUAGAGAUAGAGCUUUCCCCUUCGGGGGACAAAGUGACAGGUGGUGCAUGGUUGUCGUCAGCUCGUGUCGUGAGAUGUUGGGUUAAGUCCCGCAACGAGCGCAACCCUUAAGCUUAGUUGCCAUCAUUAAGUUGGGCACUCUAAGUUGACUGCCGGUGACAAACCGGAGGAAGGUGGGGAUGACGUCAAAUCAUCAUGCCCCUUAUGAUUUGGGCUACACACGUGCUACAAUGGACAAUACAAAGGGCAGCGAAACCGUGAGGUCAAGCAAAUCCCAUAAAGUUGUUCUCAGUUCGGAUUGUAGUCUGCAACUCGACUACAUGAAGCUGGAAUCGCUAGUAAUCGUAGAUCAGCAUGCUACGGUGAAUACGUUCCCGGGUCU
rnacentral:rRNA from 1 species